AGCGGGGCGGCAGGCUUGCCUGCCGUUGCCGGCGACCGGCGCACGGGUGAGUAACGCGUAUGCAACCUGCCCGUGGCAGGGGGAUAAGCGGGGGAAACCCCGUCUAAUACCGCGUAACGCGGCCUAGGGACAUCCCAAGGCCGCCAAAGGGAGCAAUCCCGGCCACGGAUGGGCAUGCGGCGCAUUAGCUAGUCGGCGGGGUAACGGCCCACCGAGGCGACGAUGCGUAGGGGUUCUGAGAGGAAGGCCCCCCACACUGGUACUGAGACACGGACCAGACUCCUACGGGAGGCAGCAGUGAGGAAUAUUGGUCAAUGGGCGCGAGCCUGAACCAGCCAAGUCGCGUGAGGGAGGACGGCCCUACGGGUUGUAAACCUCUUUUGCCGGGGAGCAACGGGCGUCACGUGUGGCGCCACUGAGAGUACCCGGAGAAAAAGCAUCGGCUAACUCCGUGCCAGCAGCCGCGGUAAUACGGAGGAUGCGAGCGUUAUCCGGAUUUAUUGGGUUUAAAGGGUGCGUAGGCGGAUCGUUAAGUCAGUGGUCAAAUUGAGGGGCUCAACCCCUUCCCGCCAUUGAAACUGGCGUUCUUGAGUGGAAGAGAAGUAUGCGGAAUGCGUGGUGUAGCGGUGAAAUGCAUAGAUAUCACGCAGAACCCCGAUUGCGAAGGCAGCGUGCCGGCUUCCGACUGACGCUGAAGCACGAAAGCGUGGGGAUCGAACA
rnacentral:rRNA from 1 species